CCCUUAGAUGUUCUGGGCCGCACGCGCGCUACACUGAUGCAUUCAACGAGUCUAAAACCUGCUCUGAUAGGGGUGGGUAAUCUUUUGAAUGUGCAUCGUGAUUGGGAUAGAUGAUUGCAAUUUUUCAUCUUCAACGAGGAAUGCCUAGUAAACGCAAGUCAUCAGCUUGCAUUGAUUACGUCCCUGCCCUUUGUACACACCGCCCGUCGCUCCUACCGAUUGAAUGAUCCGAUGAAUAUCAUGGAUUGAGGAUGCAAGUAGGUUCGCCUAUCUUCAUCUUCGAGAAGUGAAGUAAAUCUUAUCAUUUAGAGGAAGGAGAAGGUGUAACA
rnacentral:rRNA from 1 species